rnacentral:rRNA from 1 species
UUUGAUGGCGACCGGCGCACGGGUGAGUAACACGUAUCCAACCUGCCGAUGACUCGGGGAUAGCCUUUCGAAAGAAAGAUUAAUACCCGAUGGCAUAGUUCUUCCGCAUGGUAGAACUAUUAAAGAAUUUCGGUCAUCGAUGGGGAUGCGUUCCAUUAGGUUGUUGGUGAGGUAACGGCUCACCAAGCCUUCGAUGGAUAGGGGUUCUGAGAGGAAGGUCCCCCACAUUGGAACUGAGACACGGUCCAAACUCCUACGGGAGGCAGCAUG